UACGUAGGGGGCGAGCGUUGUCCGGAAUGACUGGGCGUAAAGGGCGUGUAGGCGGUCAUUUAAGUCUGGAGUGAAAGUCCAGCAUUCAAUGUGGGAAUUGCUUUGGAUACUGGAUGACUUGAGUGCGGAAGAGGUAAGUGGAAUUCCUAGUGUAGCGGUGAAAUGCGUAGAUAUUAGGAGGAACACCAGUAGCGAAGGCGGCUCUCUGGACUGUAACUGACGCUGAGGCACGAAAGCGUGGGGAGCAAACAGGAUUAGAUA
rnacentral:rRNA from 1 species